ACAUUUUGUCAUUUUAAAAGCCCAUGUCUAGGUUUUCAAGUGAGUUCUUUCCCCACUGGAAUUAGAGAUUUAGCUAUCAACGCUGAAGGACAAUUAUAUGUAGAGAUGGUCAGUUGGAUCAGUUUACUCAAGUUCUGAGUGACUGUUUUCCCAUGUUUCAAAAAGAGAUAGUGAUGGCACUACAGCUGGCAGCUGUUUCUCGCACACAAUGUGGUUUAGCAGGCUUGUUCUGGGAACAUCUACUACAUUUAUUUCACCAAGCUAACCAACAUAAGCUAUGCAAGCAAAUUAAACUUGCUACCCAAGGGAUGACAUAUAAGCUGGAGAGACUGCCUAAUUCAUACACCGUUUAAAACAGAACCACUGCUGAUAGCUGUAAUUAGUUCCAUAGCAACCCUUCCUCCUGCUGCUGCAAGACUGAGGCUGCUAGUCCAACUCCUAUAACAGGAGAUAUAAAACUAUAUUUGAAAGAAUACUACUGAACAGAACCACACAUUAUAUGGGAUGUGCACCAAGAUAUGACGUGGAAAGAACAUGAAGAGUCCUUUGUCAAUGCAGUUCAUAACUGUGCUAGCACAAUUCUAUGUACUCCUUCUUGGUUAAUAACAAGAUGUAAAAGAGUAAGAAAUUUUCCUACAGAAAGAAUCAGAUUUUGAAAUGUUUUAGCUUCCUGAAAGCACUUUAGGAAAAACAAACAACUCCCCUUGCACUUGCAAAAGCCUGUAACCUGUACAGAGAAAUGUGGCGACCACAAAAAAAAUUAUAUGUUUACAACAGGAAAUAGAGAAAAAGAGAUUAAUAGAUACAACUAUAUAGAAUGCAUCCUAAAACUGAUGAAUGAGAGAACAUAGCCCAUUUUGUAAGAUCAGGUACAGAAAAUUCUUUUCAAUCAAUGAAAUAAAGUACUUCCCACAGUGAUAAGAAUGGUAAAAGAGUCGGAAGAGAAGAGACUAAAAUAGAAGGAAAAACACUGAAUUCUCUAAGAGAAUCAAAAUCUGAGAGAAUCAAACAUGAUAGAUGGCAAAGGAGGCACUAUCAUGACUUACUGUCAGGGAAAUGGCUUUGGGGUUUUUUUAUUGUGUUUUCUCCUUUGUGCUUUCCUUUCAAGGGUAGAAAAUAAGGGGAAAAAAUUAAACUCAGGAUAGUUUGGGGAAUUUUGUGUCUCUUGUUAAUGAACUUUGUGUUACUGCUUAACCCUAUUUUAUUUCUUGGCUAGCUUUUAGAAAUUCUACUCUUUCAGAAAUUUCAUAUAAUAGCCACUUACAAUUUUGAAUGCUAGCAGAGAUUUUGUUUACAUUAUUAGAUUAGCGGAAAGAUGCGAGAAAUAGGGACAUGCUUAGUGAAGAACUGAGUUGGAGGGUCCAAGAAUAUUUGGCUGAUAAAAAUGAGAUUCCAUGCUCAACCUAUGUACCAUAAGUAGUUUUCAAAAGUCCUAUCCAAAUUGGGUCAUUUCCUAGCAGCCUAUGCCUUGUGUCCUAAGUUACACAAAAAUUCUGAUAUCCACCUUUUCUUUUCUCUUUUCCCCAAAUCUGACUACUCAUUUGGACUGUGAAAGGAACUUGAUAAGAUAAGGAUAAUACUAUUACCCUAGGAGAAGGAUGUGUGUGAAAGACUGGAAUGUUGAUGACUCAGACAAUCCAGGUGCAAGGUGACGAUGUGCAAAGUAAUCACCCAGGUUACUGGGAUGCUGAGGGCAUGCACACCUGCCACCUCAGGCUUCAAGCUGGGUGUUGUUUAUUUGUCCUUACACAAAUGACUCAAAUGUGAUAACUCUCCUCUGGGGAAGCACUGAGACAAUUCACACAUAGCCUGAAGAUAUUAAUCUUUGAACAUGGACCAUAAUGCAUCCACCUGCGCUGACGCAACACGCAUCUGUAACAUCUUGUCAAAGAUUCCUGAAAUGUCCUGUGAUCCAGUAUUACAUCAUCCAGUGUAGAACUCCCUUCCCCGGGGUAGUAGUGGAGUCAUUCCCACUUAGCCUAAGCCCAAUAAAAGACCACAUUUGGACUUCACACAACACUAGACUUUUUUCCCUCACCACAUGGGACUUUCCUUACCACCCAGGGCUUCCACCACCACCUUGAUGGAUCUGGACUGUGACCACCACUACGACAAGACUACAACCAUCACUUUGACCAACAAACAUCAAAAUUUCAACAACCAAGUCUCAUCACUGGAUCCAAUGGGUGUCUUGUGGGUCCUCUCGGAGAGUCCGCAGCCCUGCUCUGAUUGCCUGUACCAGCACCGCAGCCUCACUCCAGCACUGACUGUCCAGCUGUUCCUGUCAGGGUUUCCAGGUGUGGGGGAGGAGAACGACAUGGAAGGGCAGCCAUCUUGUCUCUGUCCUGUGUCCAUGUGUGUUUUCUUUUCCUGAGUGUGGGAGGCCAGGCCACAUCUGGAUUUGGUCCAGAGGGCAGGGCUUGGCAUGCUUCUCCUCAUUGGUUGGUUUAACUCAUUAUUAUAAGUAUUUUUAUCAGCAUUCUUCUUGGCAAAGAGUGAUUUUUUCAGUUAUGUUUGGGUGUCUUUGGUUUCCCUCUGUAUUGGAGAAACUAGGGGUAUUAAACUCAAGGGAGGAGACUUCUGUCUGAGGUCUCCACCCCUCCAAAUUUUCUCAAACCCAGACACCUUGUAUUCCAAAAAGGUGAAACGGGAAAAACAAACCAUAAUUUUAAAUAGUUAAAUAAAAUUUCCCCAGACAACUUUUUCAUUUUAGUGUUCUUGUUUUCCUACACAAGCUGAAAACGUUAGAUCAUAUGUAGACUGAAAAUCUCUCAUAGGAUAUUUGGGCAAGGCUUUCUUCUGAAACCACAUCAUUAAGAAAGUGAGAGGAGACUGACCAGAAUGGGUUGAGGAGAGAUAAAAAGGAACAGCAAGUAAAACCAUUUGUUUAAUUAAAAAUAAACUCGCAAUAUCCCUCCACUAAAAAAAAAAACAAAGUAAACUGGGCAUGCAUGGUUAUAUUUGUAUGAAGUUACAUAUAACUAAUAAGUGUUUCAAAAAGAAAAUGUCAGCAAAUUUAAUAACAAAUUAUGCUACAAGUCAUGCGUAGGAUGAAAAAUAUGUUAUAAAUAUGAAAA